UAGGAGGGGGACAACAGUUGGAAACGACUGCUAAUACCCCAUAUGCCGAGAGGUGAAACAUUAAUGGCCUGAGGAGGAGCUCGCGUCUGAUUAGCUAGUUGGUGGGGUAAAGGCCUACCAAGGCGACGAUCAGUAGCUGGUCUGAGAGGAUGAUCAGCCACACUGGGACUGAGACACGGCCCAGACUCCUACGGGAGGCAGCAGUGGGGAAUUUUCCGCAAUGGGCGAAAGCCUGACGGAGCAAGACCGCGUGAGGGAGGAAGGUCUGUGGAUUGUAAACCUCUUUUCUCAGGGAAGAAGAACUGACGGUACCUGAGGAAUCAGCAUCGGCUAACUCCGUGCCAGCAGCCGCGGUAAUACGGAGGAUGCAAGCGUUAUCCGGAAUUAUUGGGCGUAAAGCGUCCGUAGGUGGCUAAGCAAGUCUGCUGUUAAAGAGCGGAGCUAAACUCCGUAAAGGCGGUGGAAACUGCAUAGCUAGAGUGUGGUAGGGGUAGAGGGAAUUCCCAGUGUAGCGGUGAAAUGCGUAGAUAUUGGGAAGAACACCGGUGGCGAAGGCGCUCUACUGGGCCACAACUGACACUGAUGGACGAAAGCUAGGGGAGCGAAUGGG
rnacentral:rRNA from 1 species